rnacentral:rRNA from 1 species
GAUGAACGCUGGCGGCGUGCCUAAUACAUGCAAGUCGAGCGAACAGACGAGGAGCUUGCUCCUCUGACGUUAGCGGCGGACGGGUGAGUAACACGUGGAUAACCUACCUAUAAGACUGGGAUAACUUCGGGAAACCGGAGCUAAUACCGGAUAAUAUAUUGAACCGCAUGGUUCAAUAGUGAAAGACGGCUUUGCUGUCACUUAUAGAUGGAUCCGCGCCGCAUUAGCUAGUUGGUAAGGUAACGGCUUACCAAGGCAACGAUGCGUAGCCGACCGGAGAGGGUGAUAGGCGACACUGGAACUGAGACGCGGUCCAGACUCCUACGGGAGGCAGCAGUAGGGAAUCGGCCGCAAUGGGCGAGAGCCUGACGGAGCAACGCCGAGUGAGUGAUGAAGGUCUUCGGAUCGUAAAACUCUGUUAUUAGGGAAGAACAAAUGUGUAAGUAACUAUGCACGUCUUGACGGUACCUAAUCAGAAAGCCACGGCUAACUACGUG